rnacentral:tRNA from 1 species
GCUGGUGUGGCUCAGUAGUAGAGCAUCAGCCUGCACACUGAAGGGUCAUAGGUUCAAUUCUCUGUCAAGGGCA